rnacentral:rRNA from 1 species
UACGUAGGGUGCGAGCGUUGUCCGGAAUUACUGGGCGUAAAGAGCUCGUAGGUGGUUUGUCGCGUUGUUCGUGAAAUUCCCUGGCUUAACUGGGGGCGUGCGGGCGAUACGGGCAGACUGGAGUACUGCAGGGGAGACUGGAAUUCCUGGUGUAGCGGUGGAAUGCGCAGAUAUCAGGAGGAACACCGGUGGCGAAGGCGGGUCUCUGGGCAUUCCCUGACGCUGAGGCGCGAAAGCGUGGGGAGCAAACGGG